UUUUCCAGAUUUUGUAGUUCUUUAAUACCCAAACCCGUAAGUUCUUCCCCCAUUAAUUGCCUGCUUUUGCCGAAAGAAAAAAAAAUGAAAUGUUUUAUCAAUGAGAUAGGUUUUUCUCUUAAGGCAAAAAUAUUCAGAGCAUAAGUUUUUUUUUUAGCAUUUCUAUAUUUUUGUUUAAGAAGCUAAGCUGUAAAUUUACAACUUCCUAGAACUAUCAGUAAUGUUUUCAGGUGGCAUCACGUGGCUAACUUUUUUUGGCAGUCAGAAAUGAAAUCACCUGGUUAACUGAUAUAAAAUUUUUUAGGGAGUCAGUAGAACAAAAAUAUAUUAUUUACCAUAUGAUUAUUUCCAGUAAUGAGCUAUUGAAUCAACCUUUUGGGUCUUGUAACAUCUCCUUCAUUUCAUACAACCGAGGGGUGUCUCAUGUUUGACAUUGACUUACUAAUAAGUAACAAAUAUAUAUAUAUUUUCUCCAAAAAAAGAAAAAGUAACAAAUAUAUAAGCUACUCUUUAAUAUAUUUUGAUUUCAUUCUCUGGAAAUGUUGGGAGAGAAAAAAAUAAGCAAAGAUGGAUAUCAUUUUUCCCUUUUGGAUGAUUUAAUGGACACUGGGAAAGGUGGAUGAUAAAAUUUGCCUUCUCCUUUUCCUAUUUUAUGCCCUCUCGUUAUUCUUUUUCUUCCCAAAAGGUCAUGGAUGUAGGAUUUGGAUCCUGAAAAGCGAGAUGUGUAAAGUGGAAAAGUAAAAUAUACAUACUGUGGAUUUGAAAAGAGCACCUCAUGAACUUAACCCACUUUAAAUCAAAGGUUGAUAAGUGAUAACCUUUACUUGGUCACUUCAGACAUCUCUUUGCUUUACUGGAAUCAAAUCUGAUGAAAUAACCUGUUCGAUUCUACUAUGUCUCUGUUUACUUUUAGUACAUUCAUGCAACUAAUUUGUGUUAGUUUAUUUAUUUUUUACCUGUGGCAUUCUUGCAAGUACUGAAGCUGCUGCCUCAAGCUUGCUGCUUCUGUCUGCCAAAACUAGCAAGUAGAAAUGCAGGUAUCAAAUAUAUUAAACAGUUGUUAUUUAAGGAAAUUAUUUUAAAUGCAAGAAUUGUAGGGUAGACAAUUUGAAGACUAACAUAGUAACAUUAGCGUUGAGAACCAACAUUCAGAUGUUUUUGACAAUCUCCCUAAGUAUAUUAUUCCACUAAUGGUUGAUUUCAAUUAGACGAAUAAGUUACAUUUUCAUGUUCAAGGAAGAUAAGUUUUGUACCUCUUUAAGAGGUUGAUUGAUGCCCAAUGCUUCCCUUUCCUUUAUGAGGCCAAAGAGUCUAGCAGAAAAUUGGGUAAAUAGAUGCAAUAGAGGGUGGUUUGCUACUCAUUUUUUUGGGAGAUUCAUUGGUACUUUUAUGACACCAGUAUGUGUGGUGGUUGUUAUUGAUGCCCAUGCUUGGAAUCCUGGCACCCUGGGAAUUUAGUAGGUGUGAAAUCUGAAAUCACUGUAUUCUACAUAUGCUAUGUGUAUUUUGAGUCUUUCAAUUGCGAUACUUAAUAAGAAUAACUUCUAAAAGCUUAAAUUAUUAGCUGAAGGCCUAUUAAUGGUUUUAUUUCUCCAACGAGCCUUUAUGACAGAGCUGUUUUGGCAAGCGUAGGCAAUGUAUUUGCCCACUUUACCUUUUGCGGGAAAUUUAAUAUGACGAAUGGGGCAACAAAAAUCAAACUGUUGACCACAUGAUUUUUUUAAAAAUUGAUAGGAUUUGGAUUCUCUUAUGUUUUAAAUUAAUAGUGGAGAGAGGGUUCUGUCAGAGUCAUAAGACAAGUUGUUUUUAUUAUAAGUACUGCACCAAUAACCCAUCAUGGUGGCUCCCUGCGUAAAAAUCCUAGUUGCUAUCCCUAACAAGGCUGUACACGUGUAUCUUGAGUUCCAUAUAUCUGAUACUAGAAUGCCUCGCAUACUAGUGAAUCGCUCAUCUACUAAUUAUGGAUGGGCGCUAGGAAAUAUUAGGAUGGCUACAUGAAUUUGGCGGUUGGAAUAGAGUAAGCAGCCUUCAAUUUUCUAGUUAAUUUGUGGUUGUUGCCUUUUGAAAAUAAAUAGAAUAAGGUGUGACUAUCCAAGUAUGACGGUGAUAUUAGUUUAUAUCUGUCACUUACCUAACCUAUGUUGGUUUGUAUUUUUCUUGGAUCAUUUAUUAAUUUCUUGAAGUUUAUUGUCUAUUUCUCAUAUUGCUUUCUUGAAAUUGUGAAGUUUCUCCUCAUUUUCUAAUAAUCUGUUGAUCUCCUGUUUACAUCUUCAUUUUCUGUUGUUUGUCACUUUUGUUUAUUCCACCCACACAUUGGCAUUGUGUGCUAGGCAUGCAUCCAUUGUAUGCCUCCUUUACAGUUGCUUUCCCCAAUCAUGCUUUAGCAAAAUAGCUGUCUUGUAAGCUUAGUCAUGAAGAAAUAAAUUUUGAAGUUGAUUUUGUUCCAUGAAAUGCUUUGUUUGAUGUAAGAGAAAUAGUAAUGCCACUAAAGAAUUUAAAUGAGGCUAUGAGAUGCUUGAAAUCCUAGCUAUCGUAUACUUGCCAAGAAUCAUGACAACUCAUGAUGUCUCUGAGAAAAUGUGAGUUGUUUUUUUUUUUUUGACUGGAUAAAAUGUUAGUUAUAACAUUGAAAUAGUAUUUUUUGGAUUCUUUGGAUUGAAUUGUGAUAAAUUCUAGUAAUCAUUACUAGUAAUAGCAAGGAGGGGAAUCUUGGAAACAUUUGCUUGAAUACCCUAGUAUCCUUAGUAUAAGGAUACUUGCUACGCUUUUAUUCUACAUGAUGCAAGCUAAUAAGGAGAAGUGAUCAAAUUAGACAAGUGGUUUUUCCUUGUAAGAAACUAGUGUUUCUUAAGUAUAGAGAUUAGAGGGGAAGGGGAUGGGGUCCAUUAUUUGUUACUUUUUUGGCACAUGCAGAUGUCAUUACCAUGGCUUGAGCCUAUCCAACUCCCUUAAGCUAAGCCAAAAUGAUUUACUGUCGAGCAGCAAGAAAAGAAGAAAUAUGGUAUUUUACUCUCUAGUCUGGAACCUGGAUGUCUUGUAAGAUGUAAAACAGGAACGUACCUGCUAUUGUUUGUAUAGAAGGUAACUAAAAGAAUAUAAUGUUUUCAAUUUUCUUGUCUAACCUCUCUUGAUUUGGU
rnacentral:lncRNA from 1 species